rnacentral:lncRNA from 1 species
AGCGCGUGCGGCCGCCGAGCACAUGGGCCCGCGGGCCGGGCGGGCUCGGGGCGGCCUGGACCCGGACGGGCGGCGAGGGGCCGCGCGCGGGGACGGGCCCCGGCACCCCCCGGGCCCCCCGAGCGGAUUUCCACGCCGAGAGGAUGUUGGCAGCGCCGGCGACCUGCCGAGACGCGGCGGGAUCCACCUUCCAGUUGGACAGGCCCCAGUUCUCGGGGAUCACAGAGACAUAAUGUGAACACGGCCAGAGAAAUUGCUGCCUCUCCCUUCGUCAGUAAAAGAGAAAGGAGACACCUCUUCUGUGGCACCCGCGUUGAGGAAAUCCUGCCUCCCGCGCCUAGGACAGAUGCUGGGGCGUGCCCAGAGUGGGGGAACCUUCCCGCCUGGACCCUCCCAGCUGAGAACCCCUCUGUUACUGCUCUGGCCAGAGCCGUGCCCGAGGCUGGCUUCCAGAGGCGCCAGAGUCAACAUCUGCUGACUCUUGCGUGACAAGACCACUCACUGUUGCAGAGAGAAGAGAGAGGACAGAGAGAGAAAGCACACCCUCAGAGUCCGGGGGCCCAGCCACAGAAAGGGGACGGCACGCGGCCAGGCACACCACGGACACGUCCCCUGGCUCCCACCAUGCUUCUCUCGCAUGCGGGUGCCAGGGACCACUUGACCUGCGCACUUGAUCUGUGCCCUGUACCCCCGCUCACCAUUCUGAGCCAACCCAGGGCACCUGGACUCUUGCAGCUACCGGAGCAUCCUCCCGUGGAUCCCGUAUUUAAGGGCUGCUGGUUACGAAGGUUCCCCCCCAGCCCCGCUGUUGUGUAGGAAAUAGAGGCAGCCUGUUUCUAGUUUUUCUUCAGAAUGCCCACUGCAGGGGGCCAGCUGGUGGAACUAGG